GGUUCAGAACAAACCAUUUUUCCAAUGUUCUAACAUCCUGAGUGUGGGUGGAAGCAAUGCUUACUUAGUCUCAUGGAAAAGAUGGUGUAUUUAUAAAAGAAUCAUCCAGCUGACUGGGGUGAUUGCAGGAAGGGCCAGUGGUCACUCGGAGAAAACAGCAAGGCCUUGGCUUUUUUUUUUCUUUUGCUUUGGGUCUUAAUGGGUCAAUUUCUGCCACUUUUUUAGAGACUGGGGAUUUCCAAACCUCUGCCUGGAAGGCCUGGAGUCACUUCCAGUUCGCAGGGAAAUGGAAAAGCAGGGAAAGCUCCACAUUAAUUGCUCAGAAAUAGGCCACAAGGGCCUGGGAGUGGCCCCAAAGUAGGCCCUCUCCCGGGCAGGGACCUGCUGGUCGGCAGGGGGCCCCCAGGGGUGUGACCUACUGAGGAGAUGGCUUCUGUCACAGGGGGUUUGUGGGAGUGGGCAGGGUGGGGGUCAGUCUGUGGGGGGGAGGGGAUGCACACAGGGUGGGCGGCACCUGGUGUGGGCGAUGCCCCUGGCCUGAGGUCGGCCUGCACUGGCGCUGGCCUCCAAGAUCCCACGGAGGGGCCGUAACUGUGAUACAAUGUGGCCAAACCACUCCUGCUGUGGGAACUACAACUGCACAUUUCCUGCCUUUCAUCUUGCGUGUUUGGGAGGAAUAUGUCACAAUAAGCAAACCACAGCCCCCGUCACUGGGGCAAGGGGCAAGGCUGUGGCUCUGGGCCUGCAGGGAGGGCUCUGAGGGGGCUGUGCCGAGCAGCCUGCCGGCCACAGCAGAGAAGGGCCUGUCCUACCGGCCACCAUCUGCCCAUGUCAGGCCAAGCGAGUCCUCUUGCUGGCCGGGGACAGAGACAUUGCUCAGACAAGAAAAAUCGGGCUUUCAGUUCUUCAUUGGCUGGAGCCAGUCUGUAGGCCCGGGGGUGGGUCAGGACUCUUCCGUGCAGACAGGAACUGGAAGCCUGGACCGGGGUCAAGCACGGGAGCACUCUCGCCGGCCAGGACCGGACCUGAGCAAGGCUGUGUUGCCCACAGUCGCAGGCUGGUGAGGAGAAGGAGGUAGGCUGACGAGUCCUAGAGGGUGGUCUUCACUGAAGCUAGGGGCUCGGGCACCAGGGGUUGGGAGAUGCCG
rnacentral:lncRNA from 1 species